AUGGUGGCAUUGUUGUGAAAAAACUUAGUUCUAGCAUCACCCAAAGUUGCCCAUUUUAUGGUACCCCUUUGUUUCCAGUAGACCCUUUGCUGCUCCAGAAGGGUAACCAAGUGUCUUCUCAACUCCUUGAAGUUCCAUUCAUGAAUACUAAGAUCCCUGAACUCUUCAAAGUGCUCUAACAUCUGUAGGACUAGUCUGGAAUUUGCAAUAGUUGUGUGAAGA
rnacentral:lncRNA from 1 species